UCCUCCUUAUGGGUUGGGUGG
rnacentral:piRNA from 1 species